GACGAACGCUGGCGGCGUGCUUAACACAUGCAAGUCGAACGGAAAGGCCCUGCUUGCAGGGUACUCGAGUGGCGAACGGGUGAGUAACACGUGGGUGAUCUGCCCUGCACUUCGGGAUAAGCUUGGGAAACUGGGUCUAAUACCGGAUAGGAGCCAUCUUUAGUGUGGUGGUUGGAAAGUUUUUUCGGUGUAGGAUGAGCUCGCGGCCUAUCAGCUUGUUGGUGGGGUAAUGGCCUACCAAGGCGGCGACGGGUAGCCGGCCUGAGAGGGUGUACGGCUACAUUGGGACUGAGAUACGGCCCAGACUCCUACGGGAGGCAGCAGUGGGGAAUAUUGCACAAUGGGCGCAAGCCUGAUGCAGCGACGCCGCGUGGGGGAUGAAGGCCUUCGGGUUGUAAACUCCUUUCGCUAGGGACGAAGCUUUUUUGUGACGGUACCUAGAUAAGAAGCACCGGCUAACUACGUG
rnacentral:rRNA from 1 species